GUGCUCGCUUUGGCAGCACAUAUACUAAACUUGGAACGAUACAGAGAAGAUUAGCAUGGCCCCUGCGCAAGAAUGACAUGCAAAUUCGUGAAGCAUUCCAUAUUUUU
ensembl:snRNA U6 U6 spliceosomal RNA